CUCUGUAGCUGACAGGCUGGGAGGAGAGGAAAGAAAACGAAGGAGGAGUGCUCUGGGCGGGGAGUGGAGAAACAAAAAUCUGGGCGCAUUUAGAGCAUCAGGUCCUGGGGGUGUUGUUCAGCUGCAGUGCACUCUUAAUUCAGGCGGACCCUGCCUGAGUUGAGUUUCUCAGCAGAUUGUCAGUCCCUGUUGGAGCAGACUGCCAUCUAGACCUGACUCCUGAGUUUAAAAUGCAAUGGCCAGAAGACAAGAAAGUAUCUGUGGAAGGCCGUGGACGUGGACGCCAGGACUACUGAUGCUGAUCAUCCUUGGCAUUCAUCAGGGGAGUGGGCAAGGUCAAGCUAGGAAUGACAGCAGGACAUGGAAAUGAAAGUAGCUACGCGCCAGAUGGAAAUCCUCAUGAAAAGUUCUUGAUGGAAUGGUUUCAGCAUCAUAUCCUCAUCAUGUCAGACUUGUGUCCUUUGUGCCCUGCGUAGACCUGCCUCCCAAAGUCUGAUUUAAUGUAUAGUCCAUCUUCACGCAUAUGUAACUUCCUGAAAAAAUAAAUGUAGUUGCAACUUUUGCUUA
rnacentral:lncRNA from 1 species